rnacentral:rRNA from 1 species
UACGUAGGGGGCUAGCGUUAUCCGGAAUUACUGGGCGUAAAGGGUGCGUAGGUGGUUUCUUAAGUCUGAUGUGAAAGCCUUCGGCUUAACCGGAGUAGUGCAUUGGAAACUGGGAGACUUGAGUGCAGAAGAGGAGAGUGGAACUCCAUGUGUAGCGGUGAAAUGCGUAGAUAUAUGGAAGAACACCAGUGGCGAAAGCGGCUCUCUGGUCUGUAACUGACGCUGAGGUUCGAAAGCGUGGGUAGCAAACAGG